rnacentral:rRNA from 1 species
GAAAGGGGCAAGUAGAGUGGCAAACGGGUGAGUAACGCGUGGGUGACCUGCCUUCGAGCGGGGGAUAACGUUCCGAAAGGGACGCUAAUACCGCAUAACAUCCUGCCCUUGAACGGGUGGAGAUCAAAGCUGGGGAUUCGCAAGAACCCGGCACUUGAAGAGGGGCCCGCGUCUGAUUAGCUAGUUGGUGAGGUAACGGCUCACCAAGGCAACGAUCAGUAUCCGGCCUGAGAGGGCGGACGGACACACUGGGACUGAGACACGGCCCAGACUCCUACGGGAGGCAGCAGUGGGGAAUUGUUCGCAAUGGGCGCAAGCCUGACGACGCAACGCCGCGUGGAGGAUGAAGAUUUUCGGAUCGUAAACUCCUGUCGAAUGGGACGAAAAGAUUGCGGGUGAACAGCCCGUAGUCCUGACGGUACCGUUAAAGGAAACCCCGGCUAACUCCGUGCCAGCAGCCGCGGUAA